AGCAGCCGCGGUAAUUCCAGCUCCAAUAGCGUAUAUUAAAGUUGUUGCAGUUAAAAAGCUCGUAGUUGAAUUUCGGGACCAAUAUGUUGGUCGUGCCUAGGUACGUACUGUCAUGAUUGGUUUCUCCCUUCUGAAGAACCACGAUGCCAUUAAUUUGGUGUCGUGGGGAAUCAGGACUGUUACUUUGAAAAAUUAGAGUGUUUAAAGCAGGCUCGCGCUUGAAUACAUUAGCAUGGAAUAAUGAAAUAGGACGUUUGAUUCUAUUUUGUUGGUUUCUAGGAUCGACGUAAUGAUUAAUAGGGAUAGUUGGGGGCAUUAGUAUUCAAUUGUCAGAGGUGAAAUUCUUGGAUUUAUUGAAGACUAACUACUGCGAAAGCAUUUGCCAAGGAUGUUUUCAUUAAUCUAAGAACGAAAGUUAGGGGAUCGAAGACGAUCAGAUACCGUCGUAGUCUUAACCAUAAACUAUGCCGACU
rnacentral:sRNA from 1 species